CCCCGGCUUGAAAGCUGGGGCUGAAUUGAGCCGGCCUUACAGGCCU
rnacentral:sRNA from 1 species